GGAGCUUGCUCCAUUGUUAGUGGGGAACGGGUGAGUAACAUGUCGGAACAUGUCGGGAAGUGGGGGAUAACGUAACAAAAGUUACGCUAAUACCGCAUAUGCCCUGAGGGGGAAAGGGGGGGAUCGCGAGACCUCUCGCUUUCGGAGUGGCCGAUAUCGGAUUAUCUAGUAGGUGAGGUAAAGGCUCACCUAGGCGACGAUCCGUAGCUGGUCUGAGAGGACGACCAUCCACACUGGAACUGAGACACGGUCCAGACUCCUACGGGAGGCAGCAGUGGGGAAUUUUGGACAAUGGGCGCAAGCCUGAUCCAGCCAUACCGCGUGAGUGAAGAAGGCCUUCGGGUUGUAAAGCUCUUUCAGCCGGAAAGAAAUCGCACUUCUUAAUACGAAAUGUGGAUGACGGUACCGGAAGAAGAAGCACCGGCUAACUACGUGCCAGCGGCCGCGGUAAUACGUAUGGUGCGAGCGUUAAUCUGAAUUACUGGGCGUAAAAGCGUGCGAGGCGGCUUUUUAGCCAGAUGUGAAAUCCCCGGGCUUAAUCUGGGAAACUGCAUUUGGAACUGGAAAGCUAGAGUGUAGCAGAAGGGGGUAGAAUUCCACGUGUACCAGUGAAAUGCGUAGAUAUGUGGAGGAAUAACGAUGGCGAAGGCGCCCCCUUGG
rnacentral:rRNA from 1 species